rnacentral:lncRNA from 1 species
UGCUUCUCCCUAUUACAGUAUACCUCUCCACCAUAGUGCCACGGCACCGCAUCAUCAUUGUCAUAAGGAAUAGGCCCAGGUACCGUGAUAGUAACUAGAGCCGCAUCUGCCAGCGUGGACAAAUCGACCAGGUCAAAGUAAAUGGUUAUGGUGGAGACAUCCUCCUUCCCCAAAUCAACCUUUUCAAAUCGGAGACUUCCUUCAUCCAUCAUCCUCUGGACAACCUCUCUCAAUGCAACACACCCAUCAGUAGCAACAAUGCACGCAACA